UGAGGAAUAUUGCGCAAUGGGGGCAACCCUGACGCAGCGACGCCGCGUGGAUGAUGAAGGCCUUCGGGUUGUAAAAUCCUGUCAGAUGGGAAGAAGUGCAACGUAUCCAAUACAUACGUUGUUUGACGGUACCAUCAAAGGAAGCACCGGCUAACUCCGUG
rnacentral:rRNA from 1 species